rnacentral:rRNA from 1 species
AUUGAACGCUGGCGGCAGGCCUAACACAUGCAAGUCGAACGAGUGGCGGACGGGUGAGUAAUGUCUGGGAAACUGCCCGAUGGAGGGGGAUAACUACUGGAAACGGUAGCUAAUACCGCAUACCAUCGGAUGUGCCCAGCUGGGAUUAGCUUGUAGGUGAGGUAACGGCUCACCUAGGCGACGAUCCCUAGCUGGUCUGAGAGGAUGACCAGACAGAUUGAAACUGAGACACGGGCCAGGCUGCUACGGGAGGCAUCAGUGGGGAAUAGUGAACAAUGGGCGCAAGCCGGAUGCAGCGAGGCCGGGUGUAUGAAGAAGGCCUUCGGGUUGUAAAGUACUUUCAGCGGGGAGGCGUUACCCGCAGAAGAAUCACCGGCUAACUCCGGGCCAGCAGCCGCGGUAAUAC